AGUGAACGCUGGCGGUAGGCCUAACACAUGCAAGUCGAACGGCAGCACAGUAAGAGCUUGCUCUUACGGGUGGCGAGUGGCGGACGGGUGAGGAAUACAUCGGAAUCUACUUUUUCGUGGGGGAUAACGUAGGGAAACUUACGCUAAUACCGCAUACGACCUACGGGUGAAAGCAGGGGAUCUUCGGACCUUGCGCGAUUGAAUGAGCCGAUGUCGGAUUAGCUAGUUGGCGGGGUAAAGGCCCACCAAGGCGACGAUCCGUAGCUGGCCUGAGAGGAUGACCAGCAACACGGAAACUGGGACACGGCCCAGACCCCAGGGGGAGGAGCCGGGGGGGGAUAUUGGACAAGGGGCGCAGCCUGAACCCAGCCAUGCCGCGGAGGAAAAGAAGGCCUUAGGUUUUUAAGGCCUUUUUGUAGGAAAAAAAAAGAAGCGGGUUAUUCCCCCGCUGUUCGUGAGUUACCAAAAAAAUAAGCGCCGGCUAACUUCGUG
rnacentral:rRNA from 1 species